UUUACAAUUUUUUCUCACCACUUUCUUCACCACAAAAAAAAUUAAAAAAACUGUCCCGUCAUGAGAGAUCUGAAAAAAUUAAAAAAAUUGGAUGUCCAUUAAUUGUGAAAAUUUUAUUACAGCGACUGUGGUGAACCUCCGCUUUGCAUGAGUUACGUAAUUGCAAUCGCGAUUCGUUAUGCGUUGAACUUUGCUAGAGCGGAUGCAGGAUAUAAGAACGAAUAGUACUAAUUAGAUGCACCUUUCACCAACGAAUACUUCUGAGUAGUUUAACCAGCAAGGAUAACAUGAUGCUGUAAGGGCAAAAGUAAGACUUGCCAAUAAACUAGCAUUUAAAUUCUCUCUCUCUCUCUCUCUCUCUCUCUCUCUAAUUCUUAUAUCUAUUAUUAUUGUUUGUCUGUUUUAUUGCUGUCAAACUAGAAUAAAUUUAGAGUCUAACGUGUAUAAACCAAUUCAUUUAAGUCGUAUUUAGUAGAUAGAAAGGUUGUAGAUUAAUAAUGAAAAUAACUCGAUUAAUUAAUAGGUUUUCAAGAUAAUUAAGAUACAAUUUAUGUUUUUAUGAUAAAUAGUUGUAAUAAGUAUUGUUCAUCAAAUAAUACACUGAUGUUAUAAAAAAUAUUACACUAUCUAUAACCAAAUUUUGGUAUUAAUGAUAUAAAAUAAAUAAAAGUAAUUUAACAU